AUUGAACGCUGGCGGCAGGCCUAACACAUGCAAGUCGAACGAGUGGCGGACGGGUGAGUAAUGUCUUGGAAACUGCCCGAUGGAGGGGGAUAACUACUGGAAACGGUAGCUAAUACCGCAUACUAUCGUUUGUGCCCAGAGGGGAUUAGCUAGCAGGUGGGGUAAAGGCUCACCUAGGCGACGAUCCCUAGCUGGUCUGAGAGGAUGACCGGCCACACUGGAACUGAGACACGGUCCAGACUCCUACGGGAGGCAGCAGUGGGGAAUAUUGCACAAUGGGCGAAAGCCUGAUGCAGCCAUGCCGCGUGUAUGAAGAAGGCCUUCGGGUUGUAAAGUACUGUCAGCGGGGAGGCGUUACCCGCAGAAGAAGCACCGGCUAACUCCGUGCCAGCAGCCGCGGUAAUAC
rnacentral:rRNA from 1 species